rnacentral:lncRNA from 10 species
GACCCCUUGAGGAAAGCCCAGCGACGCCGGGCCAGCGCAUUCUUAUUUUAUGUAUGAGCAAACUAUGGAAUGGAAAAGAGAUUAUGAGUUAUUACUUGAUUUGAUUUGCCCUAAGUGUUUUUUAAACGUAUGGAUUUAGCGCCAACAUUUAAAAAGAAGGUAUAUUUUAAUUAAAAAUCAGGAAUUGAUUUAAUUUAAAAUUUGGCUCCUCUUACAGGAAGAUCUGGCAAGAGUUAGCGUGCAGUUCUACAUUGUGACAAUUCAUGAGAGCUAAGGACUGGCUGUCUCUUGGGACAAAUAGGCUUUCUUGAGUCUGCAUGAGGCCCUCACCAGAUACAGCCACCUGAUCUUGGACUUCACAGCCUCCAGAAAUAUGCCCUGGAAUACACUUGUGUCAGUGACAAAUGCUGCUUUGCUGUGCUACAUCGAGUACAAGAGAAAUACAUGGGCUAUCUUCAGCACAGAACACAAACUCUGCCUUCUUUUCUCAAGUCCAGUGAUUCAAGUUUGACACACCACACCACGGUGGAUGUGCCUUGUCAUGACACAUCUUCUCAGCAGCACUAGAAGAUACAUCCAAAGUCCUGUGAGCAAGGACACAGCGAGAAGAUGGCUGUCUACAAGCCAGGAAGAGAGUCCUCACCAGAACCAAACCCUGCUGGACUUUGAUCUUGGACUUCCCAGCCUCUAAAACUGUGAAGACAUAAAUUUCUGUUGUUAAACCCACACAGGUCUGUGGUAUCUGUUUAUUAUGGCAGCCCAGUAAGACUAAGACAGGCCAUCACAAGACAUGAAUGUUUUGGACCUUCUCUUGGGCCCUAGUAAACAGAAAUCAGGUACGCAAAAGGGGUAAGCAUAUAAUUUCCUUUAUUUUUAUUUUUAAUGUGUAAGCCUUAGGUUUUUAUUUAUUUAUUUGGUGAAGACAAUCACAUUGUGUACGUACAAUGUAAUUAUAUUGUUGACGAGAAGUUACUUAAAAUUUUUUAAAAAUUCUAAUCGAUUUCUAGAUGUCCAAAUGAGAAGAUAGCAUUUAUAUACCAUCAGAACAUAAAAUAAUUCAAAAAAAUAAAUUUAUAAAACAAUAUGUAUUAUAUUGAGAGAAAGAGAGGGAGAGAGUAUUGGAAGAAUAUAUGCAAAUACAAUGUGAUAAUGUGAUGUCUUUGUGAGAAUGCUAUAUGUCAUUUUCUUUGUUUAUAUGAAUUUUUACAAUUUUUACCUUUGAAAUAUAAAAAAGAGAGAAUAAAAGUCAUUGAAAAAAUCAAAAGUAACUAUUUUCAUAGGUGAGUAAGUAUACAUCUUUAACAGAAC